AACGAACGCUGGCGGCGUGCCUAACACAUGCAAGUCGAACGAGACCUUCGGGUCUAGUGGCGCACGGGUGCGUAACGCGUGGGAACCUGCCCUUAGGUUCGGAAUAACUCCCCGAAAGGGGUGCUAAUACCGGAUAAUGUCUUCGGACCAAAGAUUUAUCGCCUUUGGAUGGGCCCGCGUUGGAUUAGCUAGUUGGUAGGGUAAAAGCCUACCAAGGCGACGCUCCAUAGCUGGUCUGAGAGGAUGAUCAGCCACACUGGGACUGAGACACGGCCCAGACGCCUACGGGAGGCAGCGGUGGGGAAUAUUGGACAAUGGGCGAAAGCCUGAUCCAGCAAUGCCGCGUGAGUGAUGAAGGCCUUAGGGUUGUAAAGCUCUUUUACCCGGGAUGAUAAUGACAGUACCGGGAGAAUAAGCUCCGGCUAACUCCGUG
rnacentral:rRNA from 1 species